GACGUAGGGCGCGAGCGUUUGUCCGGAUUUAUUGGGCGUAAAGAGCUCGUAGGCGGCUUGUCGCGUCGAAUGUGAAAACUCGGGGGCUUAACCCCGGGCCUGCAGUGGGUACGGGCAGACUAGAGUGCGGUAGGGGAGACUGGAAUUCCUGGUGUAGCGGUGAAAUGCGCAGAUAUCAGGAGGAACACCGGUGGCGAAGGCGGGUCUCUGGGCCGUAACUGACGCUGGAGGAGCGAAAGCGUGGGGAGCGAACAGG
rnacentral:rRNA from 1 species